rnacentral:rRNA from 1 species
GACGAACGCUGGCGGCGUGCCUAAUACAUGCAAGUAGAACGCUGAAGGAGGAGCUUGCUUCUCUGGAUGAGUUGCGAACGGGUGAGUAACGCGUAGGUAACCUGCCUGGUAGCGGGGGAUAACUAUUGGAAACGAUAGCUAAUACCGCAUAAUAUUGACUAUUGCAUGAUAGUCAGUUGAAAGGUGCAACUGCACCACUACCAGAUGGACCUGCGUUGUAUUAGCUAGUUGGUGGGGUAACGGCUCACCAAGGCGACGAUACAUAGCCGACCUGAGAGGGUGAUCGGCCACCCUGGGACUGGGACACGGCCCAGACUCCUACGGGAGGCAGCAGUAGGGAAUCUUCGGCAAUGGACGGAAGUCUGACCGAGCAACGCCGCGUGAGUGAAGAAGGUUUUCGGAUCGUAAAGCUCUGUUGUAAGAGAAGAACGAGUGUGAGAGUGGAAAGCUCACACUGUGACGGUAUCUUACCAGAAAGGGACGGCUAACUACGUG